rnacentral:rRNA from 1 species
GACGAACGCUGGCGGCGUGCUUAACACAUGCAAGUCGAACGGAAAGGCCUCACCUUGCUGGGGUACUCGAGUGGCGAACGGGUGAGUAACACGUGGGUGAUCUGCCUUGCACUCUGGGAUAAGCUUAGGAAACUGGGUCUAAUACCGGAUAUGAACUGCUUUUAGUGUGGUGGUUGGACAGUUUUUUCGGUGCAAGAUGUGCUCGCGGCCUAUCAGGUUGUUGGGGGGGUAAUGGGCUACCAAGGCGUCGUCGGGUAGCCGGCCUGGGAGGGUGUACGGGCAAAAUUGGAAUGGGGUACGGCCCAGACCUCUACGGGAGGCAGCAGGGGGGGAUAUUGCACAAUGGGCGGGAGCCUUAUGCAGCGACGGCGGGUGGGGGAAGACCGCCUUCGGGGUGGAAACUCCUUUCGGCAGGGACGAAGCUGUUUGUGACGGUACCUGGAUAAGAAGCACCGGCUAACUACGUG